AUAUAUAGUCUAAGAACCCUUUCAGUAUAAAAUAUAUUAAAAUUAUAAAAAAAAUUAUAAUUGUGUGUAUAGGUGUACACAUGUGUAUGUGUAUACCCAGACAGAAUUUAUGAAUGGGCAGGGAUGCAGGGCAUUCUUCAAAUAUGCUAAAACUAAUGAGUCAAAAUUUGAUGAGAAAUAGGAUAUAUGCAUGGUUUCAAAGUAUCUCCCAUUUAACUAGUUAAAGGGGAAAACAAUACCUUUCAGUGGAGAAAUUUAAUGGAAACUGAUCAAAGUUCAUGAUAAAUCAAUAUCAUGUACCUCCUAGUGGGAUACUUUGAGAAGGACACAGCAGAACUAACAUAGUAUUUCUGUUGAGAGUGUAUAAUCUGAAUCAAAUUGUAUAUGUGUGUCAGAUCAGAAUUGAGGUAGAUUAUACAAAGUAAGUGGCUUGUACUCAUACAAAAAGUAACUCAUGAAAGACAAAGAAAGGCUGAUGGAUAAUUUCAGAAGACAUAACUAAAUGACUUCUAGAAAUACAUCCUGGAGAGGAAGACAGGGAAUGAAUAAAUUGCUAUAAAGUAUUUUAUUGAGAUAAUUGAUAAAAUUUGACUAAAGUCCAUGUAUUUGAAAAAGUAUUAUAUGGAGCUUAAUAUCCAAAUUAAUAUUUUUUUACAAUUAUAUAAUUAAGUAUUUUCAGUCGUUGGAAAUCUAGGAGUAUUAAGAGGCAAAGCACCACAUGCCUACAAAUUUUCAGAAGAAAAUAUGCCUGUAAGUGUAUGUGUGUGUAAAUGUGUGUGUAUGUUUUUCAUGUUGGAAUAAACUGUUACUGGGGAUACACAGAGAUACAGGAACUCUAAGUGUAGUGGUGGGAGUGAAAACUAGACUUUAGCAAUAUGUUUAAAAGCUUACAUAAAUUUGCAUUUAUUGCAAGUUAACAGUUUUCCUCCCAGGAAUUUAUUCUACGAAACCUAUCAUCAAAAAGACAAAGAUGAACUAAUGAGAACAUUUGUAGUAGGUGGAAUGCUAAGUUGACCCACAAUCAGGUAUAAUCUCCUCCCCUUGAGUGUGGGUGAAACCUGUAACUACGAUGAUAUAUCAUUCUGUGAUUAUGUUAAAAUGUGUGGCAAUGGGGAGAUUAUUUGGAAUGAGUCAAACCUAAUCAAGUGAGCUCUUUAAAAGCAGGGUGGUUUUCUUUUUUUUAUUUUUUUUUCCUGACUGGUCAGAGAAGAAGCAGACAGAGUCACACUGCGUGACCUAGAAGAAAACAAAAUAUGCGACCAUGGGGACUAUGUGGCAAGAACCUAAGGGCAGCAUCUAGUGAACUUGGAAAAGAACUCCAACCCCCAGAGAAUAACUGCAUCCCCAGUAUCAUUUAUGAUUGCAAGUAACCAGGAACCAUCUAUAUAACAAGCUAUAAAAACCAGGUAAGCAAAGUAUGACAUGGUAUAUGAUAAUUAACUUUCGUGGUUGCAAGGUCUAUAUACAGCCUAUAUGAGACCUGGUCAUAAAAUUCUGAAUGUGUGUUGUGCAUGUUUUUUAAACAUACCUUCAUGUAUUUUCAUAUUGCCUAUUGUUACGGGUUGAAUUCUACCUCAUGAAAGAGCUAUUUGAAGGCCUAAUCCCCAGCACCCCAGAAAGGUAACCUAUUUGGAAAUAGAUCUAUAGCAGUUAUAUUCAAGUUAAGAUGCAGUCAUUAGAGAGGGUCCCAACCCAAUAUGAUGAUGUCCUUAUUAAAAAGGGGAAAUUUGGACACAGAGACAGACACAAAUUGAACGAAGAUCAUGGGAAGACAUGAAGACCACUGUCUACAAGCCAAAGAAUGCCUGAGACUAUGAGAAGCUGUGGAGAAGUACAGGUUUCCUUCACAGUUCUCAGCAAGAACUGACUCUGUCAACAUAUUGCUUUUGGACUUCUAGCCCCUAAAACUGAGAUAAUAAAUUUCUGUUAAGUCACUCAGUCUGUGAUACUUUGUUAUGGCAGCCAACAAACAAAUAUGCAUCCUUAUAUGCCUAUGUUAAUGGAACUGCAACAAAAUUCAAUAAGUGACUAUAUUAGUUGUUGGAGAUUUAUUUAGUUGGGUUCUGAAAAUGAAAUUGUAUUUGAUCAUGUUUGAUAUAUUAAUAUGGCAAUUUCAUAUCCUUCAGUCUUGUAAUCUUUUAUAUUUUAUACUCAAUUUUUGAGAUACUCAUAAUAAAUAUCUAUUACUUUUAGAGCUGAAUACAUUCAAUGAUAAGUGCAAAAAACUGAUAACUUCAGAUCAGCAGAAGUUGGGAGUCAUUUAUAUUUUUAUAGAUGUUGAAUAAAGAUUAAUAAGUAACUUGUAAAGCCAUUUCCUUUCUUACGUUCCCUAUUCUGCAUUCAGUUUCAUAACUACCUUGUGAUAUUUUGUAGUUUAUACAUUAUUUGUAUAUAUGUCAGGUUUUAAGUUGAAAUGUUAGAUACAGACAUGACUAGAAAUAGCAGUUUCCUGUUUCUUCUGUGGCAAAAUAAUUAAUAUUUAAUAGUCAGAAUGUGCACUGAAAUUUUCUUACAAGACUUCAAUUCAUUGUCUAAUAAAUUAAUGAAAGCUCUCACUUGUGCAAAGAAUAUUCAUAUCUGUACACACUAAUGUUGAUUCGAUGAUUCAGUAAAAGCUACAAAUUUGCUAAGAAACAUGCUAGUAGUGUCCAGUGGGAAAGACAGACAUCAGACUGUUAUAAAAAUACAUGAUUGGCAUUAUGAUGGAAAACUUACAUGAAUUAUGUGGAACUAACUGAGUCAAAGGUGAAAAAAUCUCCCCUGAGAAAGUGAUUUGUAAGGUGAAGUCUUCUGAUUUUUGCAGGAUAAGUAGAAAUGAGCAGCAGAGGAGGCUGGGGGUUGGGCUGUAUAGAAUGUUGAUUAAAAAUAGAACAUAUUUCACUGGACAAAGUUCUUUGAUCUUGGUUAAACACCCGAAAAAUGGUUAUGAUGCCAUUGUCUGUUAAAUACAUGAUUUCUUUUGAACAUCAAUCUUGAUAUUUCAGAAAUACUUUUCAAAUCUGCAUUUUCUGUCAAGAAUAAAUCUCAUUAACUGCUCCACUCCAAACGGCCACUUCUGUCACUGCAAAUUUAUAUAGGGACAGCUAUACAUUAUUAACAAGCUAUGAAAAGUCACUGGCUAAAUGUCAUCAAAGCUGAGAUAUAGCUGCACCUUGGGAUUCAUAUAGCAAACAGUUUAGUUUUAAUCAUCUUGGACCACAAGAUAUCUUGACAUUUGAGCAGGAACUUUUUUGCACUGGAAUCAGACCUCUAUUAUCUCAGCCAUAAUUUUCAGUUUAAACUGUGAUAGAAAGUUUUACCUUUUAAAUUAAAACGUGAAAAAAAAAUCGAUCCAUCAAAGACGUUAUCGUUCAUUUAAUCAAUGCUCACCUGCAGCUUUCUCCUCCCUGACCCCCCUCCCCAAAAAGAUAUGAGCAAGGGCAGCUGUAAAAUUCAAGCAUCAUUAGUGCUGCCAGAAGUUUUUUGAGCUGACUACCUUUCUGUUCCAUUAAUACCUACAAGAAAUGACCUUGUUGAACUGCAUUAAGAUAGGUGAUUGAUUUUACUGAGGUAUUUUUUUUAUUUUGAUAACAUAAGUUUUCACAGUUUAAAAACAUACAUUUGAAUCUUUUUCUGAUAGUCUAAUAAUAGUCUAAUAAUAGUCUAAUAGUCUAGUCUAAUAAUAUCCUCAGGACAUCAAUUUAUGGUGGCUACAAUGUAUCCAAAUUUAAAAUUUACUAAAAGUGUUUUAUUUAAAAUAUUUAGUACACCAGAUGCCUGGGUGGCUCAGUGGUUGAGCGUCUGCCUUUGGCUCAGGGCAAGAUCCCGGAGUUCCAGGAUUUAGUCCCACAUCAGGCUUCCUGCAUGGAGUCUGCUUCUCCUUCUGCCUAUGUCUCUGCCUCUCUCUCUCUCUGUGUCUCUCAUGAAUAAAUAAAAAAUCUGUAAAAAAAUAUUUAGUACAUGAUAUUAUGAAUUCAAAUUUUAUUGAGAUCUAUCAUUUUAGCUUCUUUUUGUGGGCUAGCCACUACAGCAAUAUAAAGAAACAAUUUUUAAAAUUAAUAAUAAUCAGAAAAAAUAUAAAACACAUAUAUCAAUAAGGAAAUCAUAGUCACCAACAAAAUUCCAUCAAAUAUAACAGGUUGAGGUGCCUGAGUGGCUCAUUCAGUAAAGCAUCAGACUCUUGGUUUCAGCUCAGGUCAUGGUAUCAGUCAUGAUCUCAAGGUACUGAGAUGGAGUCCUACCUCAGGCUCUAUGCUCAGCUUUAAGUCUGCUUUCUCUCCCUCUCCUUCCCCCACUACACCUCCCCCUGCUUGCCUGCAUGUGUGCUCUCUCUAAAAUCAAUCAAUAAAAUCUAUAAAAAACACUCUUCCCCAAAACAAAUAUAACUUGGGUUAAUAAAUGCAUUACAUAAGUUGUGGGAAAAUACACAUGCCUCAUGUCUUUUUUUUUGCCUCAUGUCUUUUGUAAUUUUACUAUGUGUAUAAGGCAAUGAGCUACAGAUGAUCAAUUAUUAGAAAUAAUUACCUUAUUCCUUUAUUUCCAAAUUAUCAGUACAUAGAUGUAUUUAGACACAAACUUUACUUUGCUUCCCGGGUAACUUCAUCUUACAAAGGCAAUACAUAACUAUAGUUUCCCCAUAAAAUUUAAACAUGCAAUAGUGAGGAAUAAUCAGGGACUCAAUAGUCUGGAAAUACAUAGAUUAUGCAGCUGAAGUAAAGAAGAUAUCCUCUGCACACAGGUUCUAGGAAUAUAACUUUGCUAUUCUAUAGUAAUCUGUAAGAGCAGUUUUACUUUUCACAACUUAAAAAAAAGACUAAUGCUUAAAUUAAUAGGCUUGUUAUUAGGUAUCUAUCAAUUGGCUCUUAUUUUAUUUUUAUAUAUGAUAAAGUCAGUAAUAAUUAGCAUAAUAAAUUUAUAUGUGGAAAUAAAAAGUGAUGAUAGAGUAUAAAACUGGCAUAUUGUUUCUUAACAGUUCUAAGAAUGUUGACAAAAGUAUAACUUUACAGUAUUUUCAUGUCUGGUUUUGUCAGGAAAUAUAUGUAAUGAGAAGUUGGCUAUGGUUCUUUAGCUCUCAGACAAGCUGAAAGCAAUGCUUUUAUGUGUACUUCUCUCUCCCCUUCUUUAUUUAUUGAGCAAUACUCAAGUAAUAUCUGUCUAUUUCCUAUUAGUAUGUGACAUUUUAGUAGUUUCUAUACAAUGAUGAAUAACAUAGACAAGAUACUUCCAGAGAUUAUAAUCAAAUAGGGAGUGAAAAACAAGAAUCACACAAAACUACAAAUGCCACGGUAUUCUAUGAAGGUGUCGUAUGGGAGAUAAUACCAAGUUUGUUCCGUGGUUCAGAAGUAGGGAGAGGAGGUUUCCCUAUACCUGUCCUUUAGAGAAUGAGCAGAGGAACAAUCAACAUGGAAAAAAAGACUUAAAUGAGGCACAUCACCAUAUCUAGUCAACUACUGCCACAAGUUUCACUGGUUGAUGAAAGAUAUGUUACAUUUUGAGAAUCUUUCC
rnacentral:lncRNA from 1 species